rfam:SAR92 bacterium BACL26 MAG-121220-bin70 contig00337_1_121220-bin70, whole genome shotgun sequence.
UAGGUUGUCUGUAAAUAUGCGCGGACAAGCCUGAAUUUUUUAAAUCGCAUGUUGGAGAAAGACAUCAUGGCACUAAGUGCAGAAGAAAAAGCAGCAAUCGUAUCGGAACAUGCUACCUGUGAA